ACAACAACAAUAACAAGCAGACCCACAAUAAGAACAAAACGUACCGACUCCAGCAAAAUAACGACAAGAAGGCGGAGGCGUAGCUAACUGAUUCUUUUGGAGAGGACUUGCCAAAUGGGGUUCAGCCCCACGACCAGGCCGAGAACAACAAGAACUGCUCUAAGCAGUACCUGCACUGGUUGGAUCACAGGAUCAAUGGCAGCUCAGCGACCAAAGCAAUCCGUUUGCUCUUGGCUCCCAAUGUAGGAGCGAUUCCCUAAAAGCGAUGGCCAAAGGGAACGGGCGAACCAACAAAAACAACACGCCCGAAUAUUAAUAACAACAAAGCACGCAACAUCUUUAAAAGGGAGCUUCGGCUCCCUUUGUGCUUUGCGAUCCCUACCGAGUUUUGACACCC
rnacentral:sRNA from 1 species